AUUGAACGCUGGCGGCAGGCCUAACACAUGCAAGUCGAACGAGUGGCGGACGGGUGAGUAAUGUCUGGGAAACUGCCUGCUGGAGGGGGAUAAAUACUGGAAACGGUAGCUAAUACCGCAUACCAUCAGAUGUGCCCAGAUGGGAUUAGCUAGUUGGUGGGGUAAAGGCUCACCAAGGCGACGAUCCCUAGCUGGUCUGAGAGGAUGACCAGCCACACUGUAACUGUGACACGUCCCAGACUCCUACGGGAGUCAGCAGUGGGGAAGAUUGCACAAUGGGCGCAAGCCGGAUGCAGCCAUGCCGCGUGUAUGAAGAAGGCCUUCGGGUUGUAAAGUACUUUCAGCGGGGAGGCGUUACCCGCAGAAGAAGCACAGGCUAACUCCGUGCCAGCAGCCGCGGUAAUUC
rnacentral:rRNA from 1 species